AGAGGCAGGAGGAUCACGAGUUCA
rnacentral:piRNA from 1 species